rnacentral:rRNA from 1 species
AGGAAGUGGGUAUGUUAAUAGCAUAUUCAUUUGACGUUAGCUGCAGAAGAAGCACCGGCAACUCCGUGCCAGCAGCCGCGGAAUACGGAGGGUGCGAGCGUUAAUCGGAAUUACUGGGCGUAAAGCGCAUGCAGGUGGUUUGUUAAGUCAGAUGUGAAAGCCCGGGGCUCAACCUCGGAAUUGCAUUUGAAACUGGCAAACUAGAGUACUGUAGAGGGGGUAGGAAGUUUCAGGUGUAGCGGUGAAAUGCGUAGAGAUCUGAAGGAAUACCGGUGGCGAAGGCGGCCCCCUCGGACAGAUACUGACACUCAGAUGCGAAAGCGUGGGGAGCAAACAGGAUUAGAUACCCUGGUAG